AAUAGACCCAUGCCUCUCCCCACUAGGAUUAUUGUUGAUGACCUAGGAUGAGUGUUGAAAACCAUUACAUUGGGAGAAAUGGGAAAGACUUUCUAGCAAUCUCAAGUGCUUUUCUCUUGUAGGAUAGGGAACUCAACUCUGGGGUGGUCCUUGGGAAAGAAGAAGACCUGUUGGAGAGUCAAGGAGAGAGCUCAGUAAUGCUGCUGUUUUUCGGGUCAAAAAGGCGAAUGUAUUUAUAUUAAAUCUAUAAAACAAUACCCUCACAGGAGGUGAAGAUUAUUCUAUCUUUUGAGUAGAAAAGUAGACAUGAGUUACAUUCUAAUGUUUCUUUCUUUUUCCAUUCUAAUGCUUCUGAGGAAACUCUCCCCAACCAAAGAGAGGGGAAGGAGAAGAAAGGAGAAAUGAAGAAAGCACUGGAAAAGAGAACAGAAGCUUUGGGGAAGAGGAAAUGAAUCUUCUAGCCCAUAGUUAUGAGGAGAAACUGCAAAAAUGAGAAGACUUGAAUCUCUCCCAGGAUCCCCAUCUGAAGUGGCUGCAAGACUAGAAAAAUGCCCUUUCAUUACUCAUAAGACCCCAUUGGGAUGUCUCCACCUUGUGCCAUACCAAUCUCAAUUUUUUUCGUACCUGCAUUCUUUAGACCUGAUUAUACUAUAAAGUGAUGACUCUUAUAAUUUAAUCCUCGCACACUGAUAAAAUAUUCCCAGUUGAAUCUGCUCUUCUGAGUUCUCUACAUGCAUUGAAAUUUAAAGCCAUACUAAUGCUCAAGGAUAGAAGUAAAUGUUAAAAUAUAAAAACCCAUUUUAUUUUUAUAUGUUUAUGAAUUUAUUACACUCUGCCCCCCUGGAGCCAGCUUUAUUUCAGACUCCAUUAAAAUAAAGAAUGAUAUGUUA